rnacentral:rRNA from 1 species
CUACGGGUGGCACCAGUGGGGAAUAUUGGACAAUGGGGGAAACCCUGAUCCAGCAAUGCCGCGUGUGUGAAGAAGGCCUGCGGGUUGUAAAGCACUUUCGGUUGGGAGGACUGCUUCUAGCACUAAUAUUGUUGGAAGUUGACGUUACCUUCAGAAGAAGCACCGGCUAACUCCGUGCCAGCAGCCGCGGUAAUACGGGGGGUGCAAGCGUUAAUCGGAAUUACUGGGCGUAAAGCGCGCGUAGGCGGCUAGAUCAGUCGGGUGUGAAAGCCCCGGGCUUAACCUGGGAACUGCAUCCGAUACUGUCUAGCUUGAGUACAGGAGAGGAGAGGGGAAUUCCACAUGUAGCGGUGAAAUGCGUAGAUAUGUGGAGGAACACCAAUGGCGAAGGCAGCUCUCUGGCCUGAUACUGACGCUGAGGUGCGAAAGCGUGGGGAGCAAACAGGAUUAGAUACCCUUGUAGUC